UGAAUGGCUUGUUCUCACGCUGUGUGAAUCCAGGUUCAGGUUCUGUCAUUUACGCAAAUUGCAGUAAACAGCAAGUUUUUAAAAAUAUCGGUAGUGGAAAAUGUACAGAAAAAGAUGACUCUGGAGCUUCAUACUCAAACAAAUUAUUCAACACAAAAAAAUAAGUUACUGAUUUCAGAAACAGGAUUACUGGUUAAUUUUGCACACAAGUAUAACUUCACAACUUUUUACAGACUUGAGCGGUUCUUUUAAAAAAUAGUCCAAUCAUUGACCUGACUGUAAGCUUGGAGAGCAAAUUCCAUAAUUGCUCAUUUCAAAAAGAUGCAGAGAAAAAUAGGCUUAAGAUGAAGGAGGAAUUUGUAUCUUCUGCCCGAUGGGAGAAAAACAGAAUGUCUGGGCAUAAGAUGAUGAUCUGAACUGUGCUGUAUAGCUACAGAAGAAAAGGGAAUGGAGAAUGAAUAGUAAACAAAUCUAUGGCUGAAAGAACACAACCAGGAGAAUUGGCUAAAAGUCUUCCCUCACCAGAAACCCUUGAUGAACCAAGAGAUUUCAAUCUGCACCCAGGAAAAUACAAGAACUCCAGGUAUAACCUCCAGAAAGCCAUCUCACAAGCGAAGUAGCAAUUCUGGACCAAACAUAAAUCACCGAAGGAUAUGUGAUAGCUCUGGCAAGGCAUGAAUGUCAUCACCUCCUACAAAGCAAAACUAAGCAACAUAAAUGACAAAAGGCUUCACUCUCAGAUAAGUUCAACACCUUUUAUACUCGCUUUGAUUGAUAGAACAUGGAAACAUCUUCACAAACUCCCAGUGGCCCAAUGAUGAGCUCUACAACUUAUUCUCAUUAGCAUUUACUUAUUUUUUUUAUUUUCAGUCUACCUUCUUUUGCACAUUGGUUAUUUAUCAGUCUUUGCUUAUGUAGUUCUUCACUGAUUCUACUGUAUUUCUCUGUUCUACUGUGAAUGCCUGCAAGAAAAUGAAUCUCAAGGUAGAGUAUGGUGACACAUACAGUACAAACUUUGAUACUAAAUCAGAUGUUUUCAACAAUUCUGAUUGAGAAUGAAGUUGUGUAAAAUAUUAGGAAUAUACCAUGUCAUCUUCAAGACAGUGUAAUUAUAUAUUAUGAUAAUGUCAAUAGCUUAAUGUUGCACCUGAAAGCUAAGCCACCUAACCCAAAUAAAAUGUAUC